GGGCCCGUAGUUUACCGGUAAAAUAUCUGGCUGGCAGUCAGAAGUAAGGGGUUCAAUUCCCCUCGGGUCCA
rnacentral:tRNA from 1 species